CCCAGGCAUGCGCAGAGCAGGGGGCGCGAGAACUGCUCCAGGAGGACGCCGGAGUCAACAAGGCUUCGGGGACGCCCCCAUCCGGCUCCGCCCCUCCCCCCCACAGGGAUGGCUCCGCCCCCACGCCCAAACAACGCGAGGUCUUGAGGAGACUUGGGGACGGCCCCGGUUGAGAGAGAUCCCGCGAGAACAGGGCAUCGCCCUCCUCGCCCCCUUCCUAGCGUCAGGACGCCUAGGGGCUGAAUAGGUGAGAGGCGGUCCGCGGCGGCGGCGCUGGGGUUGAGGGAGGAGGCCUCCCCGAGGGGAGGCCGUUCUAUUACGCCGCGCUUCGGGACGGGGCGUCUAGGUGUCGGAGCACCUGCGAGGGUACGCCCUUCCAGAUCCACCUGGAGUGGACAGACACCACAAGUUUGGCUACUUGAAGCUGUGUCCUCCUGAGAGGGACUUUGACCCAAGAAACACAGCUCUCUAGCAGGAUGGGAGUGUGGCCUGGGAGCAGAUGGUCCUUGUUUUGGUAACAUCACAGGGAUUUACCUAAACCACCGUGACUGCAGUGCAGCCAGAGCUCCGUGAUGGAAAAGCUUCAGUCUCAGGAAUUCACUUUGGCUCUGUUCCAAUCAUUGUCUCUUGCCCUGCGAAGGAAAUGAAAAGAAAUUUUAUGCCAAUUGCGAACCAAGACAAUUUUAAAGGUGAAUGUUGCGGCGCCUGGGGGGCUCAGUUGGUUAAGCGUCCGACUUCGGCUCAAGUCAUGAUCUCACGACAGUGUGGCACCACCGAAGGUUUACUAGCACCUGUCUGAGGAUUUGUUUUCAAGACCCUACUCGGCAUGAUUCCCUGUUUGACCACUGGUAAGUCACUCACACUCUUGGGGUCUUACUUUUUCACCUCAAAGCUCACAUUUAACUUCACCAUCCUCUGUGGCUGGGUUAUACAACUAGGAUUCCUAGUUUUCGUUCUUAAUAUUAAGUAGGCUAUUUCUAGAAUUCACUUCAUUGGGAGACUCCGGCGUAAUCUGUAGAUGAUACUAUCAUCACUUGUAGUAGUUAAAGGAAAGCUUUUAGAAUGAGUUUAAUGAGUUAAACUCAAUCAUCCAUCAGACACCUUUUCUUCUCUUCAACCUCAUACUUUUUCUUAGAAUCUUAAAAUAUUUGCUCCCAUAAAUAUACUUUGCAACUAAACUUUUUACAUUUUUUUCACAUAAGGUCACUCAGUAUACUAACUUUAUGAGCAAAUUAAUUUGAUCCAAUAUUAAUAUUGUACAGUUAUUAAAAUUUUAUUGCCAAUAACUUCAAAGACAAUUUUAAUUAGUAAGCAUUUACUAUUCAGCAUUAUGAUACCCAUAUUUGAAUUGCAGUUUCUCCUUGCUCAAAUCACUUUUCAGUCCCCACCAGUACUGUCUUAAAGCACUACAAGUCUCAUGUUAUGGUGCAUAAAUGAUGGUACAUUUAGCACAGGACAUGUUCAGAUUUAAGUGUACAGAAGUCAGUGUACUUGGAAGGUAUCGGUCAUUCUUGGAGCUCGUUACUGUCAGUGAAUUCUUACUGUCAUUCCCGUUUCACUGACUGAGAUUUAUGCACCAUUACUAAACGGGACUCCAGCCUUCCGUGUCGUUAGUGUUCUCCAGUUUGAGGUCCCUGAUAAGUCUCCAAGCAGUUAUUGCUAUUUAGGAUUAAUGGAUGUUGGAAAGCUCUGAUAAUUGGUCCUGAAAGGACUUCUUUAAAAGGUGAGAAGAGCUUCUGCCUGGGGAGCUAAUCUGGCCAAAGUGCACCUUCAAAGUCUCUGCAGCUGUUAGCACCUGUGUGUGAGCCAUCUUUGAUCUUUGCUCCUUCCUCUUGGUAAGUAUUUUAACUAUUUUAACGGUGGGAACAGCCAUAUUCCACAAGACUCCUGAUCCCAUGCAGUGUCUCUGCCACUGAGACCUGCCAAGACAGUUCAAGUAGCAGCUCAGCAUUUCAUUUUCAUACUCUUCUAGAGUGAGCCGUGUAACGUACAACUUUGCGGCUCUUCUUUGGACUCCAUGUCCAGGUUUAUUUGCUUAUUUAUUUUGUAAUGUUUACUUAUUUACUUAAUGUGCAAUGACCGUAGGAUGCAUCAGUCAAAUGUAAGACUUUUGGGUAUUUUCAUGGGGUCACGUUAUUUUGUUUAAAGUCUACUCCUCUCUUUUCCACUUUUGCAUUUUAAUUAGCUCAUUUAAAGUGUCAAAUCCUCUCACACUUCUGCAUGGUGAAGGAAAUCAUCAACAAAACAAAAAGGCAACCUACUGAGUAGGAGAAGAUAUUUGCAAAUGAUAUGUCUGAUAAGAGUUUAAUAUCCAAA